rnacentral:tRNA from 1 species
UGUUCUUUGGCGAAGUUGGUUAACGCGCCCUAUCCAAUGAAUGGGGAGUCGUGGGUUCAUAUCCCACCAUAACCA